UGAUGAUAAUUCCUCAUGUGUCUGAAAGUUACAGGCAUAUGGUUUUAGGUCAUCAUAUAUAAACAGAAACUCUUCACCCAUGUUGGUUAUGUAAGCUGUGCUUACACAUAUUCCAUAGAUGGUUUUGCAGUUUCUGAUAAUU